rnacentral:rRNA from 1 species
CAAGCGUUGUUGCGGAAUUACUGGGCGUUAAAGGGUUCGUAGGUGGCUUGUUAAGUCAGACGUGAAAAUCCCUCGGCUCAACCGGGGAACUGCGUCUGAGACUGAUGGCUCGAGUGCAGGAGAGGAACGCGGAAUUCCAGGUGUAGCGGUGAAAUGCGUAGAUAUCUGGAGGAACACCGGUGGCGAAGGCGGCGUUCUGGACUGCAACUGACACUGAGGAACGAAAGCCAGGGAGCAAACGGG